rnacentral:rRNA from 1 species
AACCCUCGACCUUAGUUGCCAGCGAUUCAGUUCGGGGCACUCUAGGUGACUGCCGGGCUAAAGUCGGAGGAAGUGGGGAUGACGUCAAAUCAUCAUGCCCCUUAUGACCUGGGCUACACACGUGCUACAAUGGGCGGUACAAAGGGUCGCGAACCCGCGAGGGGGAGCCAAUCCCAAAAAGCCGCUCUCAGUUCGGAUUGCAGGCUGCAACUCGCCUGCAUGAAGCCGGAAUCGCUAGUAAUCGCGGAUCAGCAUGCCGCGGUGAAUACGUUCCCGGGUCUU